UUUAUUAUAACGUUAGUUGUAUUCUGAUGUUUUCAUUCUCUCUUUUAUUAUCAGUAAAACAAAUAAAGCAGGUUUCAUGGUCUCAACAAGAAACGUCAAAGUUUGUUUAGAAAUUAUUCUUUAAUUAAUGAGCGUUUCAUCAAUGUUAAAUAAGUUUGUUUCUACGAGCUUAUCUUGUCUUAUAAGUUUAUCUUCAGAAAUAAUCAUUAUCACGUCUUAGCUCAAAUCUUCUGAAAGAGAGGG